UGACUCGCCACUUGAUACUCUAUGA
rnacentral:piRNA from 1 species